rnacentral:misc_RNA from 1 species
CAGUAUUCUUUUUGCCAGCGCUUAAUUGCGCGGCGAAAAAACCUUACACACAGUGUUUUUUGUUAUUACAAGAACUUUUGCUUUGGUCUGGACUAGAAAUAGUUUGGGCCAGAGGUUUACUGAACUAAACUUCAAUAUUUAUAUUGAAUUGUUACUUAUUUAAUUGUCAAUUUGUUGAUUAAAUUCAAAAAAUCUUCA